rnacentral:lncRNA from 1 species
GAGUCCCGUAUUUAUUAAUGCACACUUUUACUGCUCCUUACACAUCCAAGUUAUUCUUUGGUUCCUGUAGUUUCUAAGGCUGCUUUAAGCAAAGCCAUUUAGCCUUAGGAAAGGGAAGACACCAUGUGAUUCUGUUUACAACUGAUCUAUUCACUAUCCCACCUCCCAGUCCAGCCUGGGUGUUGAACUGGUCCUCCCUGAAUGCCAGCAUUUUUUACCUAUAUUACCCAGUCACUAGAGAGAGAGAGAGAGAGAGAGAGAGAGAGAGAGAGAGAGAGAGAGAGAGAUGGAAGACCCAGAAUUCAGUGGACCAAGUGGAAGAGAAGGAAAUGAUCAGAUCAUGUGACCCUAAUCCUAUGGUCUUAGCCUUUCCUGAGAACUGCUCUAUCUCUAGACCUCAUCCCUCAUCCCCCCUUUUCCCAUAACAUUACUAAAGAAUAGUCAGCUGUCAGGCUAGAACGGUAGCAACAUUAUAGAACUGGCUGGCUGCUCCAGUGAGCUGCUCUGUAUAGUGACAUGGGAUUGGACACCUAAGGCCAGCAGGUGCUAAGGACGGUGGGCAUUGGAGAUGCUAAGUAGGAGAAUACUGCCUGUCUCCCCUAAGCUGUGGUCUCACUGUCCCUGGAGAGGCUGUUUUAUGUGUCUGCUGCCAGCUGCCAGUCUCCACACCCUCAACCAUUCUCAACUCCCCCUGCAGGGAGAAGGCCUCCUGGGCACUGUCCUUCCACCUGUGCCAGCCACCCCCUGCCCCACUGCUGAAUGAAGGCCAUUUCAAGUGCUGCUUCUCCCUCCCCAGCUGUUAUUGCUGCAGGGCCACGCCCCCUUUAGUGCCCACCAGCACAGCCCCUCUCAGCCCUCGGCCAGUGGGAGGGGCUAGCUGCGUCUCUAGGACAGUUGCUUCCUCCGUUUAGCCAAACUACUCCUCUCCUCCCCCACGGAAUGG